GCCGGGCGGCUUGCAGGUGCGCCCUCGGGGCGUGGGAAGGCGUGUGCCACUAGAAGAUACUUUGCCGUACUGCUGUGCAACUUCAGUGAUGCAUCAUCCAGUCCGUUGACACCAGCCCCAGAAGGAAGAUUUCGUGCCCUGUGUUACGGCAUUUCGUCCUGAGAGGAAGAAGCAAGGCAGUGCAGGUGGGAGAAUGUGCGGGCCAUGCUGGUCUGAGCUUCAGUUCCGACUCCAGGGAGCUCAGCAGAGGCAGCGGCAGUCCAGGAGCCCUGGAUAAAGUCAUCUGCUAACCAUAGCAAAUGGCCAGUUUGUAUGUAUUAACAUACAUGACGUCUUGAUUUUUCUUUGGCAGGAUCUUCUCUGACAUCUGCAAGCAAAGCCACAGAGUCCAGGGGAGACAACAGCCUUGGGAACACCUUACCAACGAGGUGGAAGCCAGUGGGUAAAAGUCUGCAUCUUUCAGGCGGUCUGUUCUGGGAGGCAUUCUGUAAGCUUCUCCGAGGUUCUGGCAGAAGCGAGACCCUCAGUAACUCACUCUACAUUGACCUUUCCUUUCCCUCGCUUCACGCCCCUUUCCUCAGCUUACUUCCCAAAUAAACAACCUGCACCCCA